UCCCUGGUGGUCCAGUGGCUAAGACUUCACACUCCCAAUGCAGAGGGCUUGGGUUCAAUCCCUGGUCAGGGAA
rfam:TPA: Bos taurus chromosome 7, whole genome shotgun sequence.